UAGAUGCCACAUGCUAUUGCAAAUGAAAACAUUAAGGUACAAAGAAGGAAACUGACUUAGUUCAAGUUAUUUGACAACCAACGUGAAAAAGAGCUUAAGCAACAGAAUUAUCCAGGCGUGAAGGCUGAAAGCAGCUUGAUAAAUACCUUCCACCAGUUUGAAGAAUAGUCAACAUCAGAGCCUAUUAGUGCUGUCCUUGGGAAGACUAAGUGCUUUUAGAAAGUGUACCUUGGAAUAAACAAAAGACAAGCACAAUCUGAUGAGACAACUGAAACACAAAGAUGCUACCUAGCUUGUCUAAGGAAGCAGCAGAGCCAAGACUGAACCCAAGCACUCUGGCCUUAACUGAUGGCUUCUGGCGUCAUGGCCUUACUGUGUUCCUGUGGCAACAGAGGUGGAUGGGAGAGGGCUCUGAUCUGUAAGUGGAUCCUUGUACUUCUGUGGAAAGGAUGUCCCCUGUCCAUCUUGUCCUCGAUCUCCCUGCUGGCUCCUGGUGAUGAAGUCUGCUAAGGUUGAUGGAGAACUUGUGGUCUAGUUUCUCUCAGAGUAGUCUGGUCUGUUGACUCAGACCCACUUCAGCUGUUGGUGAUGCUGCAUAUCCCCC
rnacentral:lncRNA from 1 species